rnacentral:rRNA from 1 species
AUUGAACGCUGGCGGCAUGCCUUACACAUGCAAGUCGAACGGCAGCACGGGUGCUUGCACCUGGUGGCGAGUGGCGAACGGGUGAGUAAUAUAUCGGAACAUACCUUGUAGUGGGGGAUAACGUAGCGAAAGUUACGCUAAUACCGCAUACGCUCUAAGGAGGAAAGCGGGGGAUCGUAAGACCUCGUGCUAUAAGAGUGGCCGAUAUCUGAUUAGCUAGUUGGUGGGGUAAAGGCUCACCAAGGCGACGAUCAGUAGCUGGUCUGAGAGGACGACCAGCCACACUGGAACUGAGACACGGUCCAGACUCCUACGGGAGGCAGCAGUGGGGAAUUUUGGACAAUGGGGGCAACCCUGAUCCAGCAAUGCCGCGUGAGUGAAGAAGGCCCUCGGGUUGUAAAGCUCUUUUGUCAGGGAAGAAACGGUGAAGGCUAAUAUCCUUUGCUAAUGACGGUACCUGAAGAAUAAGCACCGGCUAACUACGUGCCAGCCGCCGCAGUAAGAC